rnacentral:rRNA from 1 species
AACGAACGCUGGCGGCAUGCCUAACACAUGCAAGUCGAACGAGACCUUCGGGUCUAGUUGCGCACGGGUGCGUAACGCGUGGGAACCUGCCCUUAGGUUCGGAAUAACUCCCCGAAAGGGGUGCUAAUACCGGAUAAUGUCUUCGGACCAAAGAUUUAUCGCCUUUGGAUGGGCCCGCGUUGGAUUAGCUAGUUGGUAGGGUAAAAGCCUACCAAGGCGACGAUCCAUAGCUGGUCUGAGAGGAUGAUCAGCCACACUGGGACUGAGACACGGCCCAGACUCCUACGGGAGGCAGCAGUGGGGAAUAUUGGACAAUGGGCGAAAGCCUGAUGCAGCAAUGCCGCGUGAGUGAUGAAGGCCUUAGGGUUGUAAAGCUCUUUUACCCGGGAUGAUAAUGACAGUACCGGGAGAAUAAGCUCCGGCUAACUCCGUG